rnacentral:rRNA from 1 species
UACGUAGGGUGCGAGCGUUACUCGGAAUUACUGGGCGUAAAGCGUGCGCAGGCGGUCAGUUAAGUCUGAUGUGAAAGCCCCGGGCUCAACCUGGGAAUGGCAUUGGAAACUGGCUGGCUAGAGUGUGGCAGAGGGGGGUGGAAUUCCGCGUGUAGCAGUGAAAUGCGUAGAGAUGCGGAGGAACACCGAUGGCGAAGGCAGCCCCCUGGGCUGACACUGACGCUCAGGCACGAAAGCGUGGGGAGCAAACAGG